AAAGCGCAUUUUAGUUCAUCUUCAUGGUGUCCCAAAAUAGCACGGUUGAGUACACUUAGAUGAUCUUAAUCUCAUUUUGAGUG